ensembl:lncRNA
GGAAGAAGUAGAGGAGGAGGAGGAGGAGGAAGGACUGACGAUGGAGGAGAUUGUAUUCAAUGAUUUGUUAAUCCUGUUAACUGCUGUUGAAUCUGAAUCAGAGAACAGUUCCUCUGGUAUCAAGAGCUCGUGUCCUUCAACUCUCAUGUAAACAAGACCUUGCUUUCAAUAAAAGAGUCAAAGAAUCAAUGAUCAAUAUUCAGACUUUUUAUUAGUUCCAACAGAUUAACAGUGAAGAUGAAGAUGAUGAAGAGCACCGAGGAAACAUCAACAUGCAGACAAACAGAUAUCAGGUCACUUUAUAAUCUGCCUUCAAUAAACCGAUGAUCUAUUCAUUAAUUACUUUUAAUCCAAAAUUCAGAAUAAAAGUCAACAACAUUGAUUAUUAAUCAUUAAUAUUAAUAAGAGAUAAAAUACUUCAAAGUUGAACUCUUUUAGCUUCGUUGCACCAGAGGUCAUCUGGAUGGACAAUAACAACCACAACAACAAUAACAACAACAACCACAACAACAAUAACCACAACAACAACAUGCAGAGCUUCUACUAAGCUUCCUGUUGUUCUACUGACACCACGGCCCCCCAGCAGACGCCUCCUGCUCCUCGGUUCCUCACUGCACGAGACCAGGACCUGAUUUAAGGUCACUACUAUUCUUACUAGAUGACGUCUGACCCGAGGCCUUCGGAUUGCUUCAGAAGGUGGGGAGGCGGCUCCUGGUGGACCCUCAGUGCUCUGCUCACAGGUCACGAUGAGGUCACGGUGGGGUCACGGUGGGGUCACAGGAUGCUCUCCCGCUCCUCUCCGAAGGUGACGGUGUCGGAGGACACGGUGCAGACCUCUGGGGGGUCGCCUGGUUUCAGGCCCCUCUUCAGGUGGACCACGCGUACGUUCUCGUUGUUGGGACCCGGCCUGGUGGAGGAGGAGCAGGAGGAGGAGCUCGGGGAUAGGAUGACAUCGCUGGUGGAGGAGGCGGGGUUGGAGGAGGUGAAGCCCUCUGCGGGGGGGCGGGGGCGGUUCCCUUGCAGGGCGUUGGUGUUGUUGUUGAGGGUGACUGUGCUGGGCGUGCGGUUUAGGUUGAAGGACCUGGAGGAGGUCCAGGUCUCCUCGGGGCUGCUGGCCAGCAGGUCAGCGGCGCCCUGGAACAGGCCCCCCCUCUCCGCUGAGGCUUUGCGGGUCAGCGGGUUCCUGGAGGACCCCUGCUCGCCCUUCUCGUCCUCCUCGGUGAUGGGGUCCAGGGCGUCGGAGUUGGAGGCGAACUCGGCGGAGUCCGCAGGCGGCUUGCCGGCGCUCCUCUUGCUGAAGGACUUGCGUCCGUCCGGCUCGGCGCCUUCCUUGCUCUCGGCCGACGAGGUCAUGAAGUGACCUGGCUGUGGUUGGACGGGCCUCUCGCCCCCGGCGCCGCCCAUCUCCACCUGGGCCAUCUGGGCGAUGUACUCCUGGUAGGCGCUGCGGUACUCGUCCUGCUGCCGGUCCGUCAGGCGGGCGAUGUCGUUGGAGGACUCCUGGGAGUUCAGGCUGGUCAUGCUGGCGGUGCGAUGAGCGCCACCCUGAGGAUCGAAGGAGACGAGAUAUUUAUAUUUAAGCGACUUACAUCACAGUUUGAACCCGUGACCUUUUACAUUUCUGACCGGGGGAAUUCGGGGUCAGACGUCUUGCUCAGGGACACUUUGACAUGGGACAUGGGGCAGCUGGGACUCCAACCACCAACCUUGCGCCACAACGACCCCCAAAUACUCAAUGGAGAUGCUCAGAAUUGAACCCAGGACCUCAUACAUGCGCUCUACCACUGAAUACAACUGAAUUAAACUGAUUCUUCACCAUCCACUGCGUGUUCCCCGGCCGCGGAGCCUCGUCCAGUCCCACCGCGCUCAGCUCCUCAAAGCUCAGGUUGAAGCUGUACAUGGGAGAUGCGUCUGUGCCGGCGUGGGGCGGAGCCACCGCUCGCCGCCCCGCCUCCACGUGAACGCCCACGACACUGCCUUGCUCACUGGCAGCUUCCUCGUGCAGCACCUGCCGCUCUAUGUGGCGCAUGUCAAGAACCUGCAGGAGACGACAACGUCACAGCUGCACCAAAGAUAAAUAUUCACCUAUAUUAUGCAUAAAUAUUCAAAUAUGCUACACGUUUACUCUUUAUCUGUAUGUCAGAGACAUGCUAACAGUUAGCCGCUGGCUUUCGCUCACCGUGGCUCUGAAGAGCUGCCAGUCUCCAAAGUUCAUGCUCAUCUCCUUCUUCAGCUCAUCGAUGUUGCACUGCGUCAACACUCGGCCGUUGACGUUGGCCUGGAAACCAGAGAAAACGUUUCAGUGUCACGUGACCUUCCUCUCCUGGAUGAGCAGAAGCCACACCCACCUUCCGGAUGGUGGCGCCGUAGUGUCCCAUCAUGCUCUGGUCGAUGCCGUCGAUCUGCCGCACGCGCUCACACACGGCCUCCGUGGUCAUGGAGCUGAGGAGCACGACCGGAGCGGCGGACGCCACCGAGGACGGGCCCUGUACAGAGACACGGCGGUUUGAAUCCCAGGACGUAGCAAACACACGGGAAGGACCACGUCCCUGAGGACAUUUGUCUGUUUAUCUAAAUAGAGAAAGCAGCUUAAUGUCGCUACUUGAUUAGCAUCUCGGUUUUAUCUAAGGGACGUUUUGUUUUGGUGCAAAGAAACUAAUAAAAGUCAAUUCUACGAGCUAGUCAAGGCAGGGUGCAUGCUGGGAGUUGUAGUGGGCAGAGGGAGUGAGUCUGAUCAGGCAGAGAGGAAAGGAGGAAAGGAGGGAAGGAGUUAGGGAGAGUUCAAUACCUGCUUCCUUUUCAAAGAUGAAACCUUAGACUGCAGACAGACAAGCAGACAGACAGACAGACAAGCAGACAGACAGACAAGCAGACAGACAGGUGAGGAAUGAAACAUCUGGAAAAACAAAGAUGGCGGACAGAAAAAGCGUGAAAAUGACUGACUGAUUUCACUGAGAAGAAGAAGAAAUCAUCGUGUUUCUACGCAGCCCCACAAACCACAGAAGAAGAGCUGUUGUUAGCGGCGGGAAGGUUUUGAAGUAACAGGAAAUAAAUCAUGCGUGAUCAUCAAAAUAAUCAUGAAAGACCAGAAAAAUCUUUGUUUUGACGUAAUUACUGGUUCUUUUAUUUUAGGAUGAGUAAAUCCAUAUUUAUUUAUUUAAUUUGGUGUUAUUUUAAAAUAGAUUCAGGACUUUUUUAAUGUUACGUUUAUUAAAGCUGACAAUCCUCCAUUCUGAAGGUACUCACAGCGGCGACGUCCCGGCUGUAGGAGUGUUUGGGUGGAGGACGUGGGUGGAGGUAUGAUGGGUAGGUGGAGGCCAUGAGAGGGCGAGGCACCUCGUAAAGGUGAUGGGGGAAAUAUGGCUGAAGGUGGAGGGGGGGGGCAGAAAUCAAAAUAACGUUCACAGAGAGGAUUGGACAUCAAACAAUAAAAAGGAGGCAAAUGAGAAGCAGCGCGUCUGAUUGGCGGGUCCGCUUGACAGGAAGCUGUGACAUCACAGCUCAACCAAUGGGGCAAGGCGACAUCGGCGGGUGGGGGCGGAGUCUGGACUCACCCUGUUGUAGAAGGGGUGCUGCGGUCCGGCCAUGCCGCUGUAGUAGCUGCUGUGAGGCGUCGGGGAGGCCACGCCCCCUGCAGGGUGAAAGGGCCCAACGAAGGAGGCCGAGGGGGAGCACGCCGACGACACCUGGCUGUACAUGGAGCAGGGGCGGGGGUGGGGAGGGGCCUCCUGCAGGGGGGGGUAGGGAACCCCGGCCAUAUUGAUCUGUUCACGGGCAGCACGAACAUCUGGAUCAGAGAGAGACGGAGCGCAUCAGCUGUAAGUUGUUAAGUACUUGUAGUACCUGCAGUACCUGUACCUAUAGCACCAGUACCUGCUGUACCAGUAGUACCUGUAGUACCUGUAGCACCAGUAGUAUCUGUAGCACCAGUUGUACCUGUAGUAUAUGUAGUACCAGUAGUACCAGUAGUAUCUGUAGUACAUGUAGAACCAGUACCUGCUAUGAUCUCCCUCAGUUUGGGGUCCAGGUUCACGGUGCAGGGCAGGAAGGUGCGGAUGUCCCUGGAGGUCAGGACGGGGGUCCGUGAGGACAAGAAGACCUCAAAGCCGCGAGUGUCUCCGUCUAUCUCCAGCAGAGGCUCCACGUCCUUGGUGGUGGGGAUGUUCUUAGACACUCUGAGAGGAGAAGAAGACACCCGUCUUUACUACUGAUGUGGUCCCUCUGUGGCGGCGUGGCGGGUGACCUCUGACCUCUCGUAGACGGUCUUGAGCGUGGCCAGGUCGGGGACCCCGUCGGUCUCCUCCAGGUACAGGAUGAGCCAGGAGGUCCUGUAGGGCCACUGCUCCGUGAGGUUGAUCCAGGAGGCCAGGCGGUCCCAGCUGAAGGCGAUCUGAUUGGCUCUCAGCAGGCGGCCCGUCACGGACACGAUGUUCAGCAGCCUCCUCAUGGUCUGAGGGCUGAUGUCACUGAACCAGUCCUCCGUCACCAUCAGCUUCGUCAGGUCAAAGGACAUCUGACGGGUCACCGAGCGCUGCACCUGCCGCCGCCGGUAGGUGUCCUGGAGACACAAGGGUCACGUCACAAGGUCAAACAGGUCACGUGACCUCUGCCCGACGAGUAUGACGGGAAGUAUGACAUGAGGUGUACACACACACACACACACACACACUCACUCGACGGUUCAGUGUCGUUUUGCUUCCUGUCUUUGUUAAUUCUCCCAAACUGUGCUGAGACAGUUUCCUGUCCAACUCCUCAUGCCAACCUACAGGGGGACAGAGGGGGAGACAGAGACAGGGGGGGAGUAGAAGGAAGGGGGGUUUGGAGGGGAGAGAGAGACAGAGACAGAGAGGGAGAGAGAGGGAGAGAGGGGGAGAGAGGGGAACAAUAUUUGUCUUUACAGUCAUCAUUCUCCAUGAACCCCCCCACCCCCGUCUUCGCCCCCAAGCCUCUGUGUGUGUUGCCACGGUUACCAUCUGCGCCGGCUGCCUCCCCGUUGGCGGGGGCGGCGGCGGCGCACAUCUUCCGGGCGCUGGACAGCCCUCGGCUGUUGAGGAAGACGGGCAGGUGCACGAUGUUCCUCAUGUAGUCGUGGCCGUUGAUGUUGGAGUCUCUCAGCACCGAGUUGAGGUUCUGGUUGAUGGCCUUGAUGAUGAUGUGAGGGUCACUGGCAAAGAUGGAGAUGAACGGGCCUUUGGAGAACAGCACCCGCACCUGCAGAACCAAAGGAGGGCCCAUCACACCUUCAGGAAGUAGUCAUACCCGCACACACUCUGGUACAACGUGGGAACAUCUGGGUAGGUAGAGGAAGAGGUAGAGGAGGAGGA